AGGGCAUUUAGUUUGGAUCUUCCAAGUAUGGCAUUGUAGGUCGAAGGUACUCGGAUGAUCAUGAAGAUCAUGCAGACGGUGCUUUGUCAUGGUUCGACCCCAGCUAUCAUGGGAAGAGCAAUUUCUCCUUCCACUGCGACGGCCUCCCAGGCAAAACCCACUAGGGGCAUAGAGACUCUCCUGAGUCGGUCGGUCGACAGUCGCAUUCGGAAGAAGGUCGAGUAA
rnacentral:lncRNA from 1 species